GUGAAACAAAUAGGAAUUUGUGGCAAGUUGCUGCUGACUUUAAUGCAACGCAAAGCAAAGCAAACUAAUCGAUUGAUGCAAAGUUUAAGGAUUCUAGCAACAGUUGGCAUUUAAGGACAAGAAACGAGAGAAUUUUCAUGCAUUUGAUGUCCUUUUGGGUCCUGAGAUCUCACAGUUUUUGAUGGACGAACUCAAUUUAUGCCUUGAUAGAAAGAACUCGCAAGCUGAAAUGAAAUGGAAAAGAAUACAUUAAUAAUUAUAUAAUAAUAAUAUUGAAUGUACAUAACUUUAACUAACUUUAAAAGCAUAUUAAUAGAUCUUUAAAUCAGGAAGUAAUAAACAGUGGUGAAAUAAAGAUGAGAAAUUGCUGUUUCCUUAAAUUUUUGAGACGGAGAUUAAUGACAGAAUUAUUA